UACGUAGGUGGCGAGCGUUGUCCGGAUUUACUGGGCGUAAAGAGCGCGCAGGCGGUCGUGCAAGUCGCGUGUGAAAGCCCCCGGCUCAACUGGGGAGGGUCACGCGAUACUGCUCGACUCGAAGGCAGGAGAGGGAAGUGGAAUUCCCGGUGUAGUGGUGAAAUGCGUAGAUAUCAGGAGGAACACCGAUGGCGAAGGCAGGUCUCUGGGCUGACACUGACGCUCAGACACGACGGCAUGGGGAGCGAACGGG
rnacentral:rRNA from 1 species